ACCAAAAAUUCUCACUUUCUCACUCUACUUUGGAGCUUCUUCUUCAAGGAUUUUCUUGAUCAAUUGAAGGUAGAUAGUGUUUAGGGAAAGUUUUAGAGUGAUGUGAGGUGUUUAGUAGUAUUUUUUUGGAAGCUUCGAAGGUUGCUCUAAUGGAGGAAAAUGGUGGAAGUGUGAGGUGAAGAAGAUGAGUGUAUGUAUGUGUGUGUUGGGCGAAAUUGUAGUGAGGGAGAGAGGGGUGAUGGCCGAAAAUUUAGUGAGGGAGAGAGAGGUUUGGCUCUUGCAAGAUUGAGUUUGAUCUUGCAUAUCUUAUGCAAUAUUUGGUAAUUAAUGUUCCUCUCUCUCUAAUCUUUUCUCUUCUCUCUCUAAUCUUUUCUCUCUCUCUCUCUAAUCUCUCUCUAAUCUCUACACUCUCAUCUCCACUCUCUCAUCCUCUAUACUCUC
rnacentral:lncRNA from 1 species